AGAAACUUCUAGCUGCCUUCUUGUGCCUCUCUCCCACUCUCCUGGAGUUCUCCCAGAACAAUAUGCUGAGAACAUUGAUAAGGUUGGAAUUGCCCAAAGGCCUUGCACCAGGAGCAAAUACUUUGCUCCUAAAGCAGACAUUCAGAUCUGGAAAAUCUGAAAGAGAACAUGGGCAUGAUUCCCUUCAUUUUAAAAAUCAUCUUGAAUCCUGAGGCACAUUUGAAAUGCAAGAUAUGUGAGGUGAAUGGCAGAAAAGAAAAAUACCAGAAGACUGAAUUUCCAAUAAAUCAAAGCAACCGAAUUUCAAUUUACAAUAGUGGAACUCAGGACAUAUUUUUUCCACCAAAACAUCCAACCAAGUAUGAGUGAGUGGCCUGGCCUUAACACAUUGUUUGUUUGAACAACAAUUUGAAGGAAAGUCGAUAUGUUGAUAAUAUAAUAUAGAGUAACUUCAGAAGGCCUUAUAAAGAAUGUGCAGUAGGAAGAAGAAAAUCUGGAACCCUGAGUUAGCCUGGUGGGAAAGUCAGCCUCAGCUGAAGCCUCAACAGGCAGCUUGGAUGCUUCUUGACAUCUACAUUAAGGUGAG